rnacentral:rRNA from 1 species
GGGUUGUGAGGUUAAGCGACUAAGCGUACACGGUGGAUGCCCUGGCAGUCAGAGGCGAUGAAGGACGUGCUAAUCUGCGAAAAGCGUCGGUAAGGUGAUAUGAACCGUUAUAACCGGCGAUGUCCGAAUGGGGAAACCCAGUGCAAUUCGUUGCACUAUCGUUAACUGAAUACAUAGGUUAACGAGGCGAACCGGGGGAACUGAAACAUCUAAGUACCCCGAGGAAAAGAAAUCAACCGAGAUUCCCCCAGUAGCGGCGAGCGAACGGGGAGCAGCCCAGAGUCUGAAUCAGCUUGUGUGUUAGUGGAACGGUCUGGAAAGUCCGACGGUACAGGGUGAUAGUCCCGUACACCAAAAUGCACAGGUUGUGAACUCGAAGAGUAGGGCGGGACACGUGGUAUCCUGUCUGAAUAUGGGGGGACCAUCCUCCAAGGCUAAAUACUCCUGACUGACCGAUAGUGAACCAGUACCGUGAGGGAAAGGCGAAAAGAACCCCGGCGAGGGGAGUGAAAAAGAACCUGAAACCGUGUACGUACAAGCAGUGGGAGCACCUUCGGGUGUGACUGCGUACCUUUUGUAUAAUGGGUCAGCGACUUAUAUUCUGUAGCAAGGUUAACCGUAUAGGGGAGCCGCAGGGAAACCGAGUCUUAACUGGGCGUUAAGUUGCAGGGUAUAGACCCGAAACCCGGUGAUCUAGCCAUGGGCAGGUUGAAGGUUGGGUAACACUAACUGGAGGACCGAACCGACUAAUGUUGAAAAAUUAGCGGAUGACUUGUGGCUGGGGGUGAAAGGCCAAUCAAACCGGGAGAUAGCUGGUUCUCCCCGAAAGCUAUUUAGGUAGCGCCUCGUGAAUUCAUCUUCGGGGGUAGAGCACUGUUUCGGCUAGGGGGUCAUCCCGACUUACCAACCCGAUGCAAACUACGAAUACCGAAGAAUGUUAUCACGGGAGACACACGGCGGGUGCUAACGUCCGUCGUGAAGAGGGAAACAACCCAGACCGCCAGCUAAGGUCCCAAAGUCAUGGUUAAGUGGGAAACGAUGUGGGAAGGCACAGACAGCCAGGAUGUUGGCUUAGAAGCAGCCAUCAUUUAAAGAAAGCGUAAUAGCUCACUGGUCGAGUCGGCCUGCGCGGAAGAUGUAACGGGGCUAAACCAUGCACCGAAGCUGCGGCAGCGACACUAUGUGUUGUUGGGUAGGGGAUCGUUCUGUAAGCCUGCGAAGGUGUGCUGUGAGGCAUGCUGGAGGUAUCAGAAGUGCGAAUGCUGACAUAAGUAACGAUAAAGCGGGUGAAAAGCCCGCUCGCCGGAAGACCAAGGGUUCCUGUCCAACGUUAAUCGGGGCAGGGUGAGUCGACCCCUAAGGCGAGGCCGAAAGGCGUAGUCGAUGGGAAACAGGUUAAUAUUCCUGUACUUGGUGUUACUGCGAAGGGGGGACGGAGAAGGCUAUGUUAGCCGGGCGACGGUUGUCCCGGUUUAAGCAUGUAGGCUGGUUGUCCAGGCAAAUCCGGAUAAUCAAGGCUGAGGUGUGAUGACGAGGCACUACGGUGCUGAAGUAACAAAUGCCCUGCUUCCAGGAAAAGCCUCUAAGCAUCAGGUAACAUUAAAUCGUACCCCAAACCGACACAGGUGGUCAGGUAGAGAAUACCAAGGCGCUUGAGAGAACUCGGGUGAAGGAACUAGGCAAAAUGGUGCCGUAACUUCGGGAGAAGGCACGCUGGUGUGUAGGUGAAGUCCCUGCGGAUGGAGCUGAGACCAGUCGAAGAUACCAGCUGGCUGCAACUGUUUAUUAAAAACACAGCACUGUGCAAACACGAAAGUGGACGUAUACGGUGUGACGCCUGCCCGGUGCCGGAAGGUUAAUUGAUGGGGUUAUCCGUAAGGAGAAGCUCUUGAUCGAAGCCCCGGUAAACGGCGGCCGUAACUAUAACGGUCCUAAGGUAGCGAAAUUCCUUGUCGGGUAAGUUCCGACCUGCACGAAUGGCGUAAUGAUGGCCAGGCUGUCUCCACCCGAGACUCAGUGAAAUUGAACUCGCUGUGAAGAUGCAGUGUACCCGCGGCAAGACGGAAAGACCCCGUGAACCUUUACUAUAGCUUGACACUGAACAUUGAGCCUUGAUGUGUAGGAUAGGUGGGAGGCUUUGAAGCGUGGACGCCAGUCUGCGUGGAGCCAACCUUGAAAUACCACCCUUUAAUGUUUGAUGUUCUAACGUUGGCCCCUUACCGGGGUUGCGGACAGUGUCUGGUGGGUAGUUUGACUGGGGCGGUCUCCUCCCAAAGCGUAACGGAGGAGCACGAAGGUUAGCUAAUCCUGGUCGGACAUCAGGAGGUUAGUGCAAUGGCAUAAGCUAGCUUGACUGCGAGCGUGACGGCGCGAGCAGGUGCGAAAGCAGGUCAUAGUGAUCCGGUGGUUCUGAAUGGAAGGGCCAUCGCUCAACGGAUAAAAGGUACUCCGGGGAUAACAGGCUGAUACCGCCCAAGAGUUCAUAUCGACGGCGGUGUUUGGCACCUCGAUGUCGGCUCAUCACAUCCUGGGGCUGAAGUAGGUCCCAAGGGUAUGGCUGUUCGCCAUUUAAAGUGGUACGCGAGCUGGGUUUAGAACGUCGUGAGACAGUUCGGUCCCUAUCUGCCGUGGGCGCUGGAGAAUUGAGGGGGGCUGCUCCUAGUACGAGAGGACCGGAGUGGACGCAUCACUGGUGUUCGGGUUGUCAUGCCAAUGGCACUGCCCGGUAGCUAAAUGCGGAAGAGAUAAGUGCUGAAAGCAUCUAAGCACGAAACUUGCCCCGAGAUGAGUUCUCCCUGAGACUUUAAGUCUCCUGAAGGAACGUUAAAGACGAUGACGUUGAUAGGCCGGGUGUGUAAGCGCAGCGAUGCGUUGAGCUAACCGGUACUAAUGAACCGUGAGGCUUAACCUUACAACGCCGAAG